GACGAACGCUGGCGGCGUGCUUAACACAUGCAAGUCGAACGGAUAAGCCCCGCAUUGGUGGAGUGUAUCAGUGGCGAACGGGUGAGUAACACGUGAGCAACCUGCCCCUGACUUUGGGAUAACCUCUGGAAACGGCGGCUAAUACUGGAUACGAGCUGGUUCCGCAUGGGGGCGUUCUGGAAGUUUUGGCGGUUGGGGAUGGACUCGCGGCCUAUCAGCUUGUUGGUGGGGUAGUGGCUUACCAAGGCGUUGACGGGUAGCCGGCCUGAGAGGGUGACCGGCCACACUGGGACUGAGAUACGGCCCAGACUCCUACGGGAGGCAGCAGUGGGGAAUAUUGCACAAUGGGCGGAAGCCUGAUGCAGCAACGCCGCGUGCGGGAUGACGGCCUUCGGGUUGUAAACCGCUUUCGCCUGUGACGAAGCGUGAGUGACGGUAAUGGGUAAAGAAGCACCGGCUAACUACGUG
rnacentral:rRNA from 1 species